UGAGAGCCUCCUCCCAUAAGGGCUUCCUGGAGACAGGACCGCUAAGCCCUUCCACUACUCUGGACUACUUCCUCAAAGUCAGAAUGAGUCUGAGAAAGGAAAGGGGUGUUGGCCUUAGAGGGCAUGCAGUGUUUCAGGUGGCAGACUAUUCUCUCCCCAACAGAAAGCUAAGGGCAGGAGACUCCAACGGGUGUUGCCACAAGCAGCUGAGCCAAGCUGGGAGAUAUAUGCCAAGGAGAUCUCAACUGAGUUUGAGACCAAAGUUUUCAACAUAAACAAAAUCCAAUAUUAAAUACUAACAAGAGAUUGUUUUAAAACUGGAGAAGCAGCCAAAGGAGAGCAAGGGACUAAACAAAGUGUGGUCAGUCCAUACCAGCAUUCCCAUGGAGCACCCAUGGCAGUGUGCAUGCCCAUGAACAGGGCUGUCUACGCCCACAGCCACCACCCCCAUGGCACAGUCGGUCCUCACCAGGAGAGGCAAUGCGGUGGCAUCAAUUAGCUGGACCCUCAAGCAGUGGCUUGGGAAAACAGCAAACCCCUGACAGAGUAAAUCUCGGAUGUCGAGUUCAUCACCAACAAAGAGGAGACCAACACUGGUGGAGCCAUGCCUGUCUACUGGAAAAACUGAUGAAAUCUUCAAACCUUUUUGCAAAAAUAACUCUGCUCGGCACAAUGCUGAGAAAGUCAGCGUGAAGUGGAAGCUGUUAUCAUGCUUUCAAAUCAGUCAGAGAAAUACCUACUGAGUUAUGUGAUCCAUUCUUGGUUCUAAGAAUUAGCACACAGGUGCCACUGGAACCCAAACACUGAUAAA
rnacentral:lncRNA from 10 species